rnacentral:rRNA from 1 species
UACGAAGGGGGCUAGCGUUGCUCGGAAUCACUGGGCGUAAAGGGUGCGUAGGCGGGUCUUUAAGUCAGGGGUGAAAUCCUGGAGCUCAACUCCAGAACUGCCUUUGAUACUGAGGAUCUUGAGUUCGGGAGAGGUAAGUGGAAUUGCGAGUGUAGAGGUGAAAUUCGUAGAUAUUCGCAAGAACACCAGUGGCGAAGGCGGCUUUCUGGUCUGUAACUGACGCUGAGGCGCGAAAGCGUGGGGAGCAAACAGG